rfam:Rhodanobacter sp. Soil772 contig_1, whole genome shotgun sequence.
UUCUUGAAGCGGGGGUGCCCGGCGUUGCCGGGCUGAGAGAGUCCCUUGGAACCUGACCCGGUUAGUACCGGCGUAGGGAGCUUGCAGAUCCGGCAU